ACACCACAUGUUGAAGAAUUGUGUUUCAUAACAGAUAAUACAUACACCAAGGAAGAGAUUGAUACUUCUUGUCAUUGAAAAGGUGUGUAAAUGGAGGCUGAUAUACUUAAGGCCGUGAAAUUUGAUUUAGGCAAUCCUACAAUAAAGACAAUUUUAAGGAGAUUCAAUAGAGUUGCUGAAGAGAGCAAAAGAGCUUUCCAAAACACCAGAUGAGGAGUAGUUGAGUCAGCUAAACUGGUAGUGCCAUCUCCCAAGUUCAGUUUGUUGCUCUGAAUUGUCCUCCAAACCAGUGGUGUAACAUUAUUUGGCCAACUCUGUUUUCCAUUGAGAAAUCAUUGUUAUAGUGGAAGCUGUUGCAUGGAAAAUCUCUUGACAGAUUGUAGUGUACAGCUCUUUGCAGCAAGAAUUGGGGGACAAGGUUUUCGUCAUUUUUGGCUCUGUUGUGCUAAAAGCAAUUUAUGCCAUCAACUUGGACAUCUUUGGAUAGCAACAAUGUGUGAUGUCUGAUGGAUGAUAGAAACAAGCUAAUUAGUGAAGCAGAUGCUCUGUAGUAUUUGAGAUUAUGGCUGUCAUGUACCCAUAAGCAGUCAUUUGGUGCAGGCAAAGGCGUUCUCAGAGCCC